CUUUCUCUAUACAUUAUUUCUUACAAAUUCCAUUAAAACAGCCAAACACAUUUCAACAUUUAGCCAAAUCUCUAGUGUUUUAGUUUCUGGCCAAGUGAGAGAUGUCAACAAACAGAAGUGCAUAUUUCAGACUAAACUUCACUCUCACACCAUUAACAGACCCAGUAGAUGAGAUAGGAAGCCACAUCAUGUCUGAACAACAACAACUAAAAGAAUGAAAAGACUAGCAUGGUUUACAAAUUCAUGUAGAAAAUAUAUUUCAGUCAUUCAGAACAAUAACAGGUAUUAGGUCCACAAAAUACUUUUAAGAUAUAAAAAUCACGCAACAUGAUAAACUCUAUAAAAUUUAGAACAAGGCUAAUAGUUAAAAAAGAAAUGUUAAAAUAAUCAAAUGAAAUAUAGUAAUAGUUUAAUAUAUUUAUACAACUAUGUUUCGUAUGAAUUUCUACAUGCAGACAACUAGACAAGCAGUACACAAGCCAAAAUUUCGACCAAGUGCACAAACACUUUUGAUAGUUGAGCUCAAUCUGUGCCCAUACCAUUCACUAAAUCAUUGCCUAUUACCUUUUCUAAUAGUCCACAUGCAUAUUUCUAUCGACUUUCCUGUAGUCUUAAUGGUAACCACCACCUUGAAUCAAAACACAACUUAAUGCUCAUUUUAUCCCUUUAUACCACCUCAUGCUUCUCACCUCACCAGUGCACUAGUACUGCUUGGCACAAGCUGAUACAGCCCUUUCCAAUUCCUUAAAAACUUUUCAGCAUAUUGGAUCUAGCGUGAUUUAUGUUGCUAAAAAUGCAUCAGUAUAGGCAGUUUUUCAAACGUAGAAGAAACCAAGUGAUAUAACGAAUUACUAUCAACCCAUCAAUCUUUCCAGUCUAUGCAACCUGAAUUUGUAAUCAGCACAAGUUGCCCAGUUUCUUCAGAAAUAACAUUAAAGAAAAAGUUCUUUGUAUGUAAAUAUUGACACAUCUAUGAUCUAACAUUUUUAGUUGCAUUAAAAUAAUGUGUAGGAUAUAACUGCAAAUCAACUCAAUCUCCAAAUUUGUUUCAAUGUUUCCAUACCCAUUCAUAUUAUUUACAAAUUUUAAUACAAGGCUUGCCCCAUUGGGUCGCGUGGCCAAGCCUACCACACACCAUGACCCCAACCCUCUUCUAGUUUGUUCAAAUUUGAUAGCAUUUUUGUCCACUUAACUCCAAAAGCCUUUGUCUCAAUUAUUUGGGUUGCACAAACAUUUAGAUUAUAACCAACAUAAUACCUAAAUUAAAAAUUUAGAAACUAGUUUUUUGGAUUAGUGAUAACUUGAGAGUUACUAUUCCCCAGCCUAUC